GAGGAACGCUGGCGGCGUGCCUAAUACAUGCAAGUCGAGCGAACAGACGAGGAGCUUGCUCCUCUGACGUUAGCGGCGGACGGGUGAGUAACACGUGGAUAACCUACCUAUAAGACUGGGAUAACUUCGGGAAACCGGAGCUAAUACCGGAUAACAUGUUGAACCGCAUGGUUCAACAGUGAAAGACGGUCUUGCUGUCACUUAUAGAUGGAUCCGCGCCGCAUUAGCUAGUUGGUAAGGUAACGGCUUACCAAGGCAACGAUGCGUAGCCGACCUGAGAGGGUGAUCGGCCACACUGGAACUGAGACACGGUCCAGACUCCUACGGGAGGCAGCAGUAGGGAAUCUUCCGCAAUGGGCGAAAGCCUGACGGAGCAACGCCGCGUGAGUGAUGAAGGUCUUCGGAUCGUAAAACUCUGUUAUUAGGGAAGAACAAAUGUGUAAGUAACUAUGCACGUCUUGACGGUACCUAAUCAGAAAGCCACGGCUAACUACGUG
rnacentral:rRNA from 1 species